GACGAACGCUGGCGGCGUGCUUAACACAUGCAAGUCGAACGGAAAGGCCCUGCUUUUGUGGGGUGCUCGAGUGGCGAACGGGUGAGUAACACGUGAGUAACCUGCCCUUGACUUUGGGAUAACUUCAGGAAACUGGGGCUAAUACCGGAUAGGAGCUCCUGCUGCAUGGUGGGGGUUGGAAAGUUUCGGCGGUUGGGGAUGGACUCGCGGCUUAUCAGCUUGUUGGUGGGGUAGUGGCUUACCAAGGCUUUGACGGGUAGCCGGCCUGAGAGGGUGACCGGCCACAUUGGGACUGAGAUACGGCCCAGACUCCUACGGGAGGCAGCAGUGGGGAAUAUUGCACAAUGGGCGGAAGCCUGAUGCAGCAACGCCGCGUGAGGGAUGACGGCCUUCGGGUUGUAAACCGCUUUCGCCUGUGACGAAGCGUGAGUGACGGUAAUGGGUAAAGAAGCACCGGCUAACUACGUGCCAGCAGCCGCGGUGAUACGUAGGGUGCGAGCGUUGUCCGGAUUUAUUGGGCGUAAAGGGCUCGUAGGUGGUUGAUCGCGUCGGAAGUGUAAUCUUGGGGCUUAACCCUGAGCGUGCUUUCGAUACGGGUUGACUUGAGGAAGGUAGGGGAGAAUGGAAUUCCUGGUGGAGCGGUGGAAUGCGCAGAUAUCAGGAGGAACACCAGUGGCGAAGGCGGUUCUCUGGGCCUUUCCUGACGCUGAGGAGCGAAAGCGUGGGGAGCGAACAGGCUUAGAUACCCUGGUAGUCCACGCUGUAAACGGUGGGUACUAGGUGUGGGGUCCAUUCCACGGGUUCCGUGCCGUAGCUAACGCUUUAAGUACCCCGCCUGGGGAGUACGGCCGCAAGGCUAAAACUCAAAGGAAUUGACGGGGCCCCGCACAAGCGGCGGAGCAUGCGGAUUAAUUCGAUGCAACGCGUAGAACCUUACCUGGGUUUGACAUGGAUCGGGAGUGCUCAGAGAUGGGUGUGCCUCUUUUGGGGUCGGUUCACAGGUGGUGCAUGGCUGUCGUCAGCUCGUGUCGUGAGAUGUUGGGUUAAGUCCCGCAACGAGCGCAACCCUUGUUCACUGUUGCCAGCACGUUAUGGUGGGGACUCAGUGGAGACCGCCGGGGUCAACUCGGAGGAAGGUGGGGAUGACGUCAAGUCAUCAUGCCCCUUAUGUCCAGGGCUUCACGCAUGCUACAAUGGCUGGUACAGAGAGUGGCGAGCCUGUGAGGGUGAGCGAAUCUCGGAAAGCCGGUCUCAGUUCGGAUUGGGGUCUGCAACUCGACCUCAUGAAGUCGGAGUCGCUAGUAAUCGCAGAUCAGCAACGCUGCGGUGAAUACGUUCCCGGG
rnacentral:rRNA from 1 species